CGGUGUAUUUCCUGGUGAAAAUUAUCCUCAGCGAGUCCAGAAUUCUCUGUUACGUAUUGCUCCCAAAGGCCAUACAGAGGUAACGACGAUGGCGUGUGGAUCGUGCUCAAACGAAAAUGCGUACAAGGCAAUUUUCGUUUGGUAUCGCCGGAAACAGAGGGGAGAUAAGUCAUAUACCCCAGAGGAGAAGACGAGUUGCGUAAUGAACCAAUUGCCUGGUGUUUCUGACCUGACUCUUAUGUCUUUCAAAGGCGCUUUCCACGACAGAACGUUUGGUACGUUAAUCACGACUCAUACCAAGCCAGUCCAUAAACUGGACAUUCCUACAAAGGACUGGCCAAUUGG